rnacentral:rRNA from 1 species
UUCUAUUAGAAAUUAUUAAUAGUAAAAUCUGCUCAAUGAUAAUUAAAUAGCCGCAUUUGUGCUAAGGUAGCAUAAUCACUUGUCUUUUAAUUAAAGACUAGAAUAAAAGAUUUAACUUUUAAAUUUAUAUUUUAAAUAUAUAUAUUUAAAUUAUUUUAAAUAUUAAAAAAUAUUUCUAAAAAAGAAAGACGAUAAGACCCUAUUGAACUUUACUUUAGUUUAACUGGGGUAGUUAAUUAAUUAUUAUUUUAAUUAAAUUUAAUUUAAAAUUUGACCUAAUAAAAUUAAUUUAAUAAUUAAGUUACCAUAGGGAUAACAGCGUUAUAAAAUUUAUAAGUCCUUAUUUAAAAUAAAGAUUGCGACCUCGAUGUUGAUUAAUUUUACUUAUUUACGUAAUAAUAAAUAAAGUAA